rnacentral:rRNA from 1 species
CAACUUUCAACAACGGAUCUCUUGGCUCUCGCAUCGAUGAAGAACGCAGCGAAAUGCGAUAAGUAAUGUGAAUUGCAGAAUUCAGUGAAUCAUCGAAUCUUUGAACGCACCUUGCGCUCCUUGGUAUUCCGAGGAGCAUGCCUGUUUGAGUGUCAAUA